AAUAGUUUGGUUCACGUCGAAGGUAUCAACGUCAACGAAAGCGAGUCUUAAUCGAAUUUAAUCUAGUUACAUGGAUAAACACAUUGGACAUUAGGUGUUAGUAAAUUUAGUUUUGCCUUUGUUAUUGUUUGUUUACUGUAAAACGAAGUUGCUCAUUGCCGCUCUUAUUCUUUUCUAGAAUUACAAUGCGUUAUAGCUGUUUCAUUAACCACUACCUCUAUAGUUUUUCAGUAUAAAUCCUACUAUUUUAAAGUCAUAGGUUUGAAAGUUGUAUGUCAAAGUGUGUCUGUUCAUAUUUGAACACAUUUAACAGAUACUGAGACCGCAAGCUAGGGAGAUUUUCUUUCUAGAUCCCCUCCAUGGCGCUGGCUGGAGAGAAAAGUCCCACCCAAACAUUCAGGUUUUUCGGGCACCCGGUUUCAUCCCAUCUGGAUAGUGGUAGUUCAGUUUAAAAAUCUAUGGCUCUGUUUAAUUUGAAGUGAAAUGUAAUAUGUCAAAUAUGUUUGUACUUACAUACAUGUAUGAUACAUAAUUUCCCAUUCGGUGCAUUAAACAGAUGGAAACAAAACCAUAGACAACAUUAUCAGUGGGGCAGUUCUCUUUGAACUCAUUAUGACCCCUUAAAAAAAUUGAGUUCGAGCCUUUGGGAAAAUUCAGUUUCAACUGUGUUCAAAACUGUUAUGCAUACUGGAGUAUAAAAAGCUGUUGAAUUGUACUUUUUCUUAACUUUCACAUACACUGUGUUCACAGAAACAUUGCUCGAAUCUUGUCCCCUGGACCUUGGAGGACUUUUGGUGUGGGUGAUGUUCAGGGCCUACCAACGCAAAGUUUCUCAAACAAAUGUGGGGUGUUUGUUUUGAUGGAUGAUGUAUAUGACUCUCCCCCAAGAAGUCACAGCAUGUCACAUCAGCCUUCAGCUCUGCAGGAUCAGACAAUACUGAAAACAAAAUGCACGGCGAACUGGGAGCUGUGAACUGUGUAUGUAGUCUACUGUGUGUAAUGCUGAAGGCUUGAUGCAUGGCAAGAUAUAAUAGACUUGGAAGCAGCAAGGUGGUGCGAACGCCAAACAUUUAAAGGCACCAUUUCCCUCCCUAGUGUAAUUGGGAUGGAGGGGGAAGACCGUAUUACAACCCUUAAAGAACUACGGUUGUAUGAUGGCCUGGAUGAGGAGGAAAAUAUUCUCCUCAAGAAACCAUUCAUGUUCUCAUUCCAGUCACAGAGAGAUUAUUAGAUGUUCUAUGUGGAGGCAGUUGACAACAAGAAAAUGCCUGCCUUUGCCUCUUUUGAGGAGCAGGAGUGAAGCAAUUUUUGAGGAGUGGUCAAACUUUGUUUUUGUCUGCUGUGUUAAUUGUUUCAUUUGUUAAUUGUGUUAUGUUGUUUAGUAAAGAUGACUUAGAAGUCA